UACAGAGGUGGCAAGCGUUGUUCGGAAUUACUGGGCGUAAAGGGCGCGUAGGCGGCCCUCUAAGUCAGCCGUGAAAUCCCCCGGCUUAACCUGGGAACUGCGUCUGAUACUGGAGGGCUCGAGUUUGGGAGAGGGAUGUAGAAUUCCAGGUGUAGCGGUGAAGUGCGUAGAUAUCUGGAGGAAUACCGGUGGCGAAGGCGGCAUCCUGGACCAACACUGACGCUGAGGCGCGAAAGCUAGGGGAGCAAACGGGAUUAGAUACCCCAGUAGU
rnacentral:rRNA from 1 species